ACAAUUGUCCAAUAUUAUGGAUAAUUUAUCCAUAUCCACCUUGUGUGAAUCAUUGAAGCGUUAGUUGGCAGGUUUUAUGGGUGUUGUCACCGACACCAGCGAGGGGAAAUUUCUCUCGGCCUGCCAAUUUUUAUUUUCUCUACUCGUCUAAAAUGGUAUGGACUGAAACAUGUUAUAACAAAUAACAAAUA
rnacentral:misc_RNA from 1 species